rnacentral:lncRNA from 1 species
UGUGAGUCCACACCGUGACCUUGGCCCUGACCCUUCUUUCCAGCCAGCCGGGGAAGCCUGGCAGCCCUCCUUCCAAACGCCUGCCCUCUCUCCUGGCCAGCAGCUCCUGCCUUGUUUCCUGUACCAGCGUCCCCAGUGCAUUCCCCUCGUAGCUCCAGUGACUGUCUAAAACCUCCAGGUCACCGUUGAGCAAACACAGACAGGAGGCGGAUGUCCCCUGCAUCAGGGACUGUCGGCCUGGGACGGGAGCUCUGUGCAGACGCAGUGACGGGGUGUGCAGUCCUCAGAGUUACCAUUUUACGGAUGGGAAGACAGAGGCUCAAAGGAGUAAAGUGACUCCAUGAAGGUCAAGCAACUCAUGUGUGGAGGAGCUGGGAUUCCAACCCAGAUCUGAGUGAGUCCCUGCCUCGUUUCUCCCCCUCCCCUUCCUGCCCACCAUAAGAGACUGGCAGGUCUAGGGCCAUCUCUGUGCCCCACACCAGGGCUCAGCUAAAGUCAGGGUCCCCAGGGGCUGCAUCUGGUGUUGGCAAUCGUUGGGAGGCCCAUGCAUAUGUUUUGCAUAUAAUUUGCAUAACGAUUACAUCUGGUUUGCAUGUGUCCACAUUGAGGCCCCAUCAGUACAAUUUUUAAGUUGCUUCUAAGCAACUCUGACUCAAUAGAUGUCCAUCUGGGCUUUAUAGAGUCCAAUUUCC